GUUUUCGUAGGGAGCCUUCAGUGCAGAUCGAGGGAUAUCUGCAGGCUGUGAUUGGAGGAUUUUCUAUGGUAUUCAGAAAUGCCUCCAAAGAGUGGGUGCUGUCGCCAGGCUAUGCCAAAUGAACAUUUCUUGUCCGACAAGGGAGGCAUCGCCAGGUAAACAUGGCUUAUGUCACAGUUGACCAUUGGACAGUGAUGAAUAUGGUCAUCGAUGAAGACAGAUGUGACGCUUAUUGUAGGCCUGGAUGAUUGUUUGAAAAGUUUAGUGUGAACCUAAAGAAAUAAUCCAACAGCAAAGUUUUUGUAAAGACUUGUUUUCGCCACAUACCUCUACACGAAAAUGUUUGUGAAGAUAUUCUAAACGAGUUGUUAAGAUGAGCUGUAAGUGUAUUCAAUUUCUGAUAUCUGGGAUUCUGGCGAAAGAAUUACGUACCAUAAAAUAAAACAACUCAGAUUGAAUAAAAUGAUUAUUCUGAAAGGCUCUGAUGCAAGUUAUUUAAGUGGUUUAAACCAUUCAACCUGUCUCUAUUCUUAAAGUUAAAAAUAGAAAAAAUAAAAAGAUUGUUCUUGA